GAGUCCUCGGGCGCAGCAGUGGGGAAUAUUGCACAAUGGGGGAAACCCUGAUGCAGCGACGCCGCGUGGGCGACGAAGCGCUCCGGCGCGUAAAGCCCUGUCAGCAGGGAAGAACAAAGACAGUACCUGACCAAGAAGCCCCGGCUAACUACGUGCCAGCAGCCGCGGUAAUACGUAGGGGGCAAGCGUUAUCCGGAUUCACUGGGCGUAAAGGGAGCGCAGGCGGCACGGCAAGUCUGGUGUGAAAGCCCGGGGCCCAACCCCGGGACUGCAUUGGAAACUGCCGGGCUGGAGUGCCGGAGGGG
rnacentral:rRNA from 1 species